GAUUCCGUAGUGUAGCGGUUAUCACAUCUGCCUAACACACAGAAGGUUCCCCGGUUCGAGCCCGGGCGGAAUCA